rnacentral:rRNA from 1 species
AUUGAACGCUGGCGGCAGGCCUAACACAUGCAAGUCGAGCGAGCGGCGGACGGGUGAGUAAUGUUUGGGGACUGCCCGCUAGAGGGGGAUAACUACUGGAAACGGUGGCUAAUACCGCAUACUAUCGGAUAACCCAUAUGGGAUUAGCUAGUAGGUGGGGUAAAGGCUCACCUAGGCGAGGAUCUGUAGCUGGUCUGCGAGGAUGAUCAGGCACACUGGAACUGGGACACGGCCCAGACUCCAACGGGGGCAGCAGGGGGGAAUAUUGCACAAUGGGCGCAAGCCUGAUGCAGAAAGCCCGCGUGUAGGAAGAAGGCCUUAGGGUUGUAAAGUACUUUCAGCGGGGAGGCGUUACCCGCAGAAGAAGCACCGGCUAACUCCGUGCCAGCAGCCGCGGUAAUAC